rnacentral:rRNA from 1 species
UGCAGAAGUAUAGAAGGGAAAGAUUUAUCGGUAAGAGAUCAGCUUGUACAGUAUCAGUUAGUUGGUGGGGUAAUGGCUUACCAAGACUAUGACGCUUAACUGGUUUGAGAGGAUGAUCAGUCACACUGGAACUGAGACACGGUCCAGACUCCUACGGGAGGCAGCAGUGGGGAAUAUUGCACAAUGGACGAAAGUCUGAUGCAGCAACGCCGCGUGGAGGAUGACACAUUUCGGUGCGUAAACUCCUUUUAUAUGAGAAGAUAAUGACGGUAUCAUAUGAAUAAGCACCGGCUAACUCCGUGCCAGCAGCCGCGGUAAUACGGGGGGUGCAAGCGUUACUCGGAAUCACUGGGCGUAAAGAGCAUGUAGGCGGAUUGAUAAGUUUGAAGUGAAAUCCUACAGCUUAACUAUAGAACUGCUUUGAAAACUGUUAAUCUAGAAUGUGGGAGAGGUAGAUGGAAUUUCUGGUGUAGGGGUAAAAUCCGUAGAGAUCAGAAGGAAUACCGAUUGCGAAGGCGAUCUACUGGAACACUAUUGACGCUGAGGUGCGAAAGCGUGGGGAGCAAACGGGAUUAGAUACCCCGGUAGUCCACGCCCUAAACGAUGCACACUAGUUGUUGUGAGGCUAGACCUUGCAGUAAUGCAGUUAACACA